rnacentral:tRNA from 1 species
AGGGAUGUAGCGCUGCUUGGUAGCGCCUUUGUUUUGGGUACAAAAUGUCACGGGUCGUCAUUCCUA